rnacentral:lncRNA from 1 species
UUUGUUUCACAAAUCACACUAUUAAGGUGUAAAAUCAUAUGAAGUAGAUUUGAAAGAGCAAAAAGUGACCGAGAAGGGCACUCCAACCCGAUGCAAUUCUACAAACAAAACUACAUAUAAGGCUGAAAAGAAUACCGUCGCGUAAAAAGGAGAAGCACCCAAAAAACCCAAUACAAAGCCAACCAAAGCUAUUGCCACAACUUAAAAUGUC